rnacentral:lncRNA from 1 species
UACUAUGUUGAAACAGGAAUCGACUCUAACUGCUUUUUGGCCUCUUCCCUGCACGGGAGUCUCAAAAUCAAGUUUUUACCCAGUGGCCUCUGGGAUCCACUCUCUCUACUCCUGAACUCUUAAAACGCCCCUGAUAACUAGGUUAGUGACCAAGAAGACCUUACAUGGCCCAUCUCUUCAUCUCCUGUCCCAUUGCAUCUCUUGCCCAUGUGCUGAGAAAGACUAAAAGUGCUAUCAUGCACUUAUAUUAAAUGUGCAGAUCAGCACUCCUCUCCCUGGAGCUGGCAGCCAUGGUUGAUGGCUAUGGGAUACAAUGUGGAUCUUUAGAUGUGAAAGUCUGAUGACUCAAAUCAAAGUUUGGUUUUUCUUUUCUACUACUCUGAAGGAAAAUCUCAGCUUGGCUAUUUCUUCAUGUUUUAAAAAUGUCUUGACUUCUCUCAGCAACCAACUUCAGGUGCCAGGAUAUGAGAUGCUAAGGUUCAGGGGUGGUGGAGGUGAUUCUAUCCAGUGGCCAGCAAUACCCAAAAGCAGCCAACCAUGAAAAUAGAGGUUUGUAAUGUACAGAAGGCUGGGGGAGCUUUCAGGGGUGUGGCCAGUUAUGUACAGAUGUGAAGCUGAGGUCUGAAGGAAAUGGAGGAAGUAGGAAGAUCAGACUGGUUGAAUUAGAAGUCUGUCACUCUAGGUGCUAAGUGACCUUGGACCCAGUCAGUUCUUGGAUUUCUGUUGUAGCCCAGGCUAGCCUCGAACCCUUGAUCCUCCUGUUCCUGGUAGAGAAACAGCCACUAAAUGGUGGGAUAGAAUGUGACUGCUCUAUCCCCGAUCUGGCUGAAGCUGAUGAAAAGUUCCCUUUGUCACACCCCUAAUCAGAUCUAGGGGACCCAAUGGCCCAGAAUUAUAGAGGACAGAGGAGAAGGUGGGCAUUGCAAGAUGCUGGAGCUUGGAAAGCAUGGUGGAAUUUGAUACACAUGAUCACCAAGCACCACCCGGGGAAGAAACUGGGUCACUGAGUCACUGGGUCACUCUGUUCCCUGAAGGCCCACCAACCACAUCCGCAUCCUACCUAGGGUGGAACUUUGACUGUCCUCGGGUGUCUCUGCUGUAUAUAGGCCAGUCACAAGCCCUUCUAAAAGCCUGCUCUUGUCUGCUUUUGUUUCUCCACCAUGCCCCCUGCCACCUCUUCUGACAGUGCUCAGAUUUAUCAGCCACCUGACCCACAGACCCAUAUGGACACACUAGAAAGCCCAUCCUAGGUCUUUCCAUGGUCUCUCACACCCCUGUCCCCGUCCCCUCCACCCCCCGGCAGCAUGCUUCACUCUAUGAAUGAGCCGCUGGGAUAUUGACAUGGAGAUGUGUUGAUGGAAAAAGCCUCCACACCCAACAUAACUCUCCAGAGAGAUAUUGAAAGUGAUGGGCAGAGAGUCUGACAAUGACCCAGGGGUCAUUGUGAGUCCUAGGCUGAAUCUGUAAUGGGGUCCAAAGUGCAGGAGAGACUGCAUUCACCUUGUUGGUGGGGUGGGGCUUCUUUCAUUACUUUAAGUAUCUGUAUGGGCUUGAGGCAUGGGAAACAGCACCUUGUCUAACUAUAGAACCCCCAGGUGUGGGGGUGGGGUGGGGGUGGGGGUGGUAAAUGGAUGAGGCUCACAGCUCACCUUCAGCUUGAUUCAACUCACAAUUCUCCUGCCCCUUCCUCUGGCUGACUGUGACCUCACCAACAAGUUAUUCUCGCUCUUCUGGGGCAUACUUUGGACUUUCUUCGUGUUAUGAAGCCCUUAGCAUUUGCCGUGUUGCUGGGUCCCAGGGGAUUGGCUGUAGUUAAUUAAAAGCACCUGUCUCUGUCAUCUCUGCACCCAACUGAAUCUCCCACCCUCAAGUGUACCUCUCAGGAUAUCCCCAGGCACACGAAGAUGGAAUGGAAAGCCAGUGGGUAUCUCCCACCCACUUAGAUGCUGAUGGCCUGGGACUAUAAACAGGGACAGUUGGGUCUCCUAAGGAAUAGCUUCCAGGUCCAGGAUGCUGGCAUCUCCCAGAGAGAACUCCAUCCCCUGACCACCAAGGCCUUUGUAGAAGCAGGAAUCUCUUCCUCCUGUCCCACAGCCCCCAGGUCAGAGCCAAGCGCAUCAUCUGCAGCACACAUGUCUGUCUCCACAGGCAAGCAACCUUGCCAAGGCAGGCCAGACAGGACAGCCCAGCUUCCCACUCCAGACAUGUUGUUCUUACAUCUCUGACCCAGUGAUCUUUCUAGGGGUCUGUCACAUGUCCCAACAGGUGGACAGCUCUCCAAGUCACCAACCUGAGGAAAAUAUCCCUCCUUGUAAAAAGGCUUUCUCUUUGUAAAUGAUUCUGUUGCCUUUUUCUAAACACAAAGUAUAUAUACCUAUAAAUGCUAUAUAUAUUAUAUAUGUGUAUAUACAUAAAGACUACUUCUUGUACAGCCCUCCACGGACCUCAGGCCCACUGUUUUCUCCAUGUCUGUCUGUACUGACUGUUGCAGAAUGAGCUGAUGUAUGAUCUUGAUUCUCCAUUUUCCUUCUGGACCACAUGUCUCUUCCUUUUCCUUUUUAGAUCUGUCUUGCUCUCUGUCUCUCUCACUCAUUGCCAACAUGUUGCUGGGAAAGAAUAUUUGAUUUAGAUGCCAAUCAGGAAGGCAAGUAGGAUGGAUGGAUGAGUGAGUGGAUAGGUAGGUAUAUAAAUGGAUGGAUGGGUGAUGGAUGGGUAAAUGAAUGGAUAGGUAUGUGAAUGAAUGGAUGAUGGAUGAAUGGAUGGGUAGGUGGGUAGAUAGGUAUAUGAAUGAAUGGAUGAAUGGAUGGGUGAAUGGAUGGAUAGGUAUGUGAAUAAAUGGAUGGAUGGAUGGAUUGAUUUGUGAAUGAAUGGAUGAAUGGAUGGGUAGGUGGGUGGAUGCAUAGGCAAGUAGAUGAAUGAAUAUGUGGGUAGAAGGGUGAGUGGGUGGAUGAAUGGAUGGAUAGGUUGGUAGGUUAAUGUAUUCGUGGAUGGGUGAAUGGAUGGAUGGAUAGAUAGAUGGGAAGGUGGAUGGACAGAUGGAUGGAUGGAUAGAUAGAUGGACAGGUGGUUGGUGGAUAAAUGAGUGAAUGAUUAUGUUGAUAGAUAUGUGGGUAGGCUGAAUGGGUGAAUGGAUAGAUCGAUGACUGGAUGGAGGGUGGGUGACUGUAUAGGCAGGUGGGUAGGUAGCUGGAUGGGUGGGCGUAUAGAAAGAUGGAUGGAUAGGCAGAUGGGUGGGUGGGUGGUCCACUAUGUAUAUUUGUAUAGAUCAUUUAUAAAGUUUUCUACACUUCUCAAAAAAAAAAAUAUUUCUAACCUUGGCUGUUGGACAGUCUGUGAGCCUGUGAGCCGGCAAGCCUGUUGUUUCUUGUGUUUAGUGCAAUGUUAGUGAGAAUCCAGUGUCUGAGUUAUUAAUGCCAAUAAAGAAUUUGAGAAUUACUGC